UACGUAGGGUGCAAGCGUUUGUCCGGAAUUAUUGGGCGUAAAGAGCUCGUAGGCGGCUUGUCGCGUCUGCUGUGAAAACUGGAGGCUCAACCUCCAGCCUGCAGUGGGUACGGGCAAGCUAGAGUGCGGUAGGGGAGCGUGGAAUUCCUGGUGUAGCGGUGAAAUGCGCAGAUAUCAGGAGGAACACCAGCGGCGAAGGCGGCGCUCUGGGCUGGAACUGACGCUGAGGCGCGAAAGCGUGGGGAGCAAACAGG
rnacentral:rRNA from 1 species